AUUUUACUCCCUCCGUUCCAAAAUACUUGACUUUCAUUAGUCCAAAAAUGGAUGUACCUGUAUACUAAAACAUGUCUAGAUACAUCUAUAUUUUGACAAAUAGAAGACAUGUAUUGUGGAACAGAGGAAGUAGGAG
rnacentral:pre_miRNA from 1 species